UGAGGAAUAUUGGUCAAUGGACGCAAGUCUGAACCAGCCAUGCCGCGUGCAGGAUGACGGUCCUAUGGAUUGUAAACUGCUUUUGUACGAGAAGAAACACUCCUACGUGUAGGAAUUUGACGGUAUCGUAAGAAUAAGGAUCGGCUAACUCCGUGCCAGCAGCCGCGGUAAUACGGAGGAUCCAAGCGUUAUCCGGAAUCAUUGGGUUUAAAGGGUCCGUAGGCGGUUUAGUAAGUCAGUGGUGAAAGCCCAUCGCUCAACGGUGGAACGGCCAUUGAUACUGCUAGACUUGAAUUAUUAGGAAGUAACUAGAAUAUGUAGUGUAGCGGUGAAAUGCUUAGAGAUUACAUGGAAUACCAAUUGCGAAGGCAGGUUACUACUAAUUGAUUGACGCUGAUGGACGAAAGCGUGGGGAGCGAACA
rnacentral:rRNA from 1 species